GACAGAGGUGCCGAGCGUUAGGCGGAAUCACUGGGCUUAAAGCGUGUGUAGGCGGAUGCCUAAGUACCUUGUGAAAUCCCACAGCUCAACUGUGGAACUGCUUGGUAUACUGGGUGUCUUGAGCCACUUAGGGGUUACCGGAACAAAUGGUGGAGCGGUGAAAUGCGUAGAUAUCAUUUGGAACGCCAAUGGUGAAAACAGGUAACUGGGAGUGUGCUGACGCUGAGACACGAAAGCCAGGGGAGCGAACGGG
rnacentral:rRNA from 1 species